UACGUAGGGCGCAAGCGUUGUCCGGAAUUAUUGGGCGUAAAGAGCUCGUAGGCGGUCUGUCGCGUCGAUCGUGAAAACUUGGGGCUUAACCCUGAGCUUGCGGUCGAUACGGGCAUGACUAGAGUGCGGUAGGGGAGACUGGAAUUCCUGGUGUAGCGGUGAAAUGCGCAGAUAUCAGGAGGAACACCGGUGGCGAAGGCGGGUCUCUGGGCCGUAACUGACGCUGAGGAGCGAAAGCGUGGGGAGCGAACAGG
rnacentral:rRNA from 1 species